rnacentral:lncRNA from 1 species
AUUUGAUGUUGACAUUUAAAAACCGAGAGUUUUCUCACACAUCUGGAUUUCUGGCUUCUCUUACAGAAUCAGAAGGUCUAGCAACUCUGGGAGUCUCCACCUCGCAUGGUGCGAUGGCCAGAGUUAAGUAGCGGCCACCUCUACGGACAGAACGCCACUCUCCAGCUUGCCACAUCACCCAGGAACCCCGCUGCAGGUGUACAUUCCCAGGAACUCCCAAGGCACUUGAGAUUUUGAUCCACAGUCGGAGCUGGAAGAAAGCGCGUCAAUCACGGGAUAAUUUAUGCAGCGUGAUAUGCCUUUAUUAUUCCACGCUGAGUCGGGGCUUCUACUGUCCAAUGAAGGUCAAAAGGAGACGCGAGAAGAACUGGUUUGAAAUCAGGAGUUUCAUGCUUGGGGAGAAAUAAAGGUUGGGACCAGAUUCUUUUCUUU